rnacentral:lncRNA from 1 species
UUGUUUGGCAGGGAAUAACAUGGAUUUUAGUACAUCUACCUUUUUGCCGACUAACUUUUAACUAGGAAAUAGCCAACCGACACAGCAGAUACCGGAGAAGACCCAAAAUGACAAAUGAACUUUCUUAAGCCUUUAUAUUUCGUUUAAAUACAGUUACAAUGUUUGACAAAUUAAGAAUAAUGGUUUUCUAGAUAACACAGGUUUAGAUUACUCAGGCUAAGGCCGGGGCAGGGAGGAGUCGGAUCUGAAUGCAGGGCGUGAGCGGUUGCGGCUGCUGUGUAUUUUUAGGUUGCUCCUCUUUGUACUUGUUCUAUGCUCUGUCUCUGUAUUGCUGCUACUGCUAUAUAAUGGACUGUUCCGUUGGAAAUAGAGGAUUCCAAAUUUAGACAAUCCGCUAGAAAAACCGAGUUGUCCAAAAUGAUUUUUUUACUGUUGUUUAACAAAUUUAGGCAAGCCACUUGAGAUGAUAUAACAACAACUAACAGCAUGUUCUAAGCUUCUAUGCCUUAGCACUGUACCUUGGUCAAUGGCGGUUGCGGUUGCCCUUCUUCUUCGGUCCACCGUGAGCUCGCAGGUAAGCCUCCCUUGCCUGGGCAUGGCGGAGCAGCUGCUGAGUCUCCUGCCGGUCCAGGUAGGCAUGCAUCGCCAUGUGACGGGUUUGGUUAUCGUGCCUCGUAUCCUUGCAACGUUCGCAGUACCACUUUAUGACUCGCGGUGCCACUCGCCUUCCCUGGCCUUCGGUUGCAGCUGCUGCUGCGCCGAGGCCCCUCCCACCAGGUCCGCGGCCCCGGCCUCCGCCGCGACCUCCGCGUCCACCCAUGCUGCCUGCAAACACGGAAUUUCAGAAAUCACGAUUCUGCUCUGCUUUGGUUAAAGCGGUUCUUCAGAUUUGAAAAGGAAAUAGAAAAACCAGCGCAGAAUUGAAUCGGAUCUGAACAGGGAAUUAAAAAAUGCUUGGGUUAAAGCGGUUCUUCAAAUCUGAAGAGGAAAUAGAAAAACAAGCGCAGAAUUGAAUCAGGCGCAGAAUUGAGGCUGCGUUUGGAACGUUGUUUUUUUGCUACACUUGUAAUAUUUUACACUUGUAUUAUACUAGCCUACAAUCAGAAUACAUGUCAGGAUUGUAUUUCCAUUCCGCUUCCCAGCU